rnacentral:rRNA from 1 species
AGUGAACGCUGGCGGUAGGCCUAACACAUGCAAGUCGAACGGCAGCACAGUAAGAGCUUGCUCUUACGGGUGGCGAGUGGCGGACGGGUGAGGAAUACAUCGGAAUCUACUUUUUCGUGGGGGAUAACGUAGGGAAACUUACGCUAAUACCGCAUACGACCUACGGGUGAAAGCAGGGGAUCUUCGGACCUUGCGCGAUUGAAUGAGCCGAUGUCGGAUUAGCUAGUUGGCGGGGUAAAGGCCCACCAAGGCGACGAUCCGUAGCUGGUCUGAGAGGAUGAUCAGCCACACUGGAACUGAGACACGGUCCAGACUCCUACGGGAGGCAGCAGUGUGGAAUAUUGGACAAAGGGCGCAAGCCUGAUCCAGCCAUACCGCGUGGGUGAAGAAGGCCGUCGGGUUGUAAAGCCCUUUUGUUGGGAAAGAAAAGCAGCAGGUUAAUACCCCGCUGUUCUGACGGUACCCAAAGAAUAAGCACCGGCUAACUUCGUG